CAAAAUGAGAGGCUCAACAUACAGAAGUUUUAGACUGCCAGUUGUUAACCUGAACGGUAUCUACAGUGUUACUGGAAACAUUUUUAAAACUAGCAUUAAUAUCUUAUGUGACUGAAGAGCCAGAUGUCACCUAUACUGGGCUGAAUUCUCCUGGAAAACUAUAUAUACAGAGCUGUUAGCAAGCACUCAGUAAGCAGAUUGGAGAGGAAUUUCCACUCUUUUAAUGAGCUGCAGUAAGGUGCCCCAAAUUUAGGAAUCAGAAAUAAAUCAAAAGCAAGCAUGGAGGUUACCAAGACUAAUACAUGAUUUGAACUCCCCAAAAUAACUUCAGAGAGGCUGUAUUCUAGGGACACAGCCUGUAUUACCAAGGGACAACAGCAUGGUUUCACCUCUCACAAAACAAGCCACAGUUCCUUUGUGCACCAGAAAUUUCCUGCAGACAGCUGCAACAGAAGAGUCUCCAGCCUCGCUAGCUCUGCUGCACUGGUGAGUACACAGGCAAGCGUGAAGCCACGCACAUCCCUU
rnacentral:lncRNA from 1 species